CAGUAGCCGCGGUAAUACGUAGGUGGCAAGCGUUGUCCGGAAUUAUUGGGCGUAAAGAGCUCGCAGGCGGUUUCUUAAGUCUGAUGUGAAAGCCCCCGGCUCAACCGGGGAGGGUCAUUGGAAACUGGGAAACUUGAGUGCAGAAGAGGAGAGUGGAAUUCCACGUGUAGCGGUGAAAUGCGUAGAGAUGUGGAGGAACACCAGUGGCGAAGGCGACUCUCUGGUCUGUAACUGGCGCUGAGGAGCGAAAGCGUGGGGAGCGAACAGGAUUAGAUACCCCCGUAGUCCCUGUCUCUUAUAC
rnacentral:rRNA from 1 species